CAGGAUUUGAUACCUGGCUCUCAGGAUGAACGCUAGCGGCGUGCCUUAAUGCAUGCAAGUCGAACGGGACCCUUUGGACUCGUCUGAAGGUGAGAGUGGCGAACGGGUGAGUAACACGUUGGUGACCUACCCCAGAGAGGGGGAUAACCAUUGGAAACGAUGGCUAAUACCCCAGAUGUCAUUACUGUUAGAGGGUAAUGACUAAAGCUCCGGCGCUCUGGGAGGGGCCUGCGGCCCAUCAGCUAGUUGGUAGGGUAAUGGCCUACAGUAGGCAGAGACGGGUAGGGGCGUGAGAGCGUGACCCCCCACACUGGUACUGACACACGGACCAGAUACCUACGGGUAGCAGCAGCAAGGAAUAUUGCCCAAUGGACGCAAGUCUGAGUAUAGCAACGCCGCGUGGAGGAUGAAGGCCUUCGGGUUGUAAACUCCUUUUCUGGGGGAAGAGAAACGGACGGUACCCCAGGCAAUAAGUCUCGGCUAACUACGUGCCAAGCAGCCCGCCGGUAAAAACGUAGGAGGCAACGCGUUAUCCGGAUUUACUGGGGCGUAAAGCGCUUUGCAAGGCUGUUUCCUUAAAGUCGGACGUGAAAGCUCCUGGCUCAACUAGGAGAAGCACGCUUCGAAACUAGGGAACUNUGAGGAUGGAUAGAGGAGACGUGGAAUUCCCGGUGUAGUGGUGAAAUGCGUAGAUAUCGGGAGGAACACCAGUGGCGAAGGCGGCUCUCUGGGCCAUUCCUGACGCUAAGAUCGCGAAAGCUAGGGGACGAUAUCGGAUUAGAAACCCCGGUAUUCCUACGCCGUAAAUUAUGUCAACUAGGUCGUAAAGGGUAUGCCAACCCCUCUGUGCUGUAGCUAACGCGUUAAGUUGACCGCCUGGGGACUACGGCCGCAAGGCUAAAACUCAAAGGAAUUGACGGGGACCCGCACAAGCAGCGGAGCGUGUGGUUCAGUUUCGAGGCUACGCGAAGAACCACAGUUAGGGUUUGACAUGUCGGUGGUAGGAAAGUGAAAGCUGACCGGCCCUUCGGGGAGCACGACACAGGUGCUGCAUGGCUGUCGUCAGCUCGUGCCGUGAGGUGUUAGGUUAAGUCCUAAAACGAGCGCAACCCUCGUCGCUAGUUAUACGUGUCUAGCCAGACUGCCGGUGAUAAGCUUAGGAAGUAUGGGAUCGACGUCAAGUCAGCAUGGCCUUUAUAUCCUGGGCUACACACACGCUACAAUGGCCGGUACAAUGGGUUGCCAAGCCGCGAGGCGGAGCCAAUCCCCCAAAGCCGGUCCCAGUUCGGAUUGCAGGCCGCAACUCGCCUACCGAAGUCGGAGUUGCUAGUAAUCGCGAAUCAGCAACGUCGCGGUGAAUACGUUCUUGGCCUUGUACACACCGAACGUCACACCAUGGGAGUGGGUUGCACCAGAAGUAGUUAGCUUAACCUUCGGGAGAGCGAUUUCCACACAGUGCUUGAUUCAUAUUGG
rnacentral:rRNA from 1 species